rnacentral:rRNA from 1 species
UACGUAGGGUGCAGGCGUUAAUCGGAAUUACUGGGCGUAAAGGGUCUGUAGGUGGCCAACUAAGUCAGACGUGAAAUCCCUCAGCUUAACUGGGGAACUGCGUCUGAUACUGGUUGGCUUGAGUGCAGGAGAGGAAUGCGGAAUUCCAGGUGUAGCGGUGAAAUGCGUAGAUAUCUGGAGGAACACCGGUGGCGAAGGCGGCAUUCUGGACUGCAACUGACACUGAAAGACGAAAGCCAGGGGAGCAAACGGG